rnacentral:snoRNA from 1 species
AGGCUGGCGAUGAUUGAGAUUGUUCCCACACGCAAUUUCUCCUGAUCCACAUGAAGGCUAAACUUCCUUGGACGUCUGAGCCG